rnacentral:rRNA from 1 species
UACGUAGGGGCUAGCGUUAUCCGGAAUUACUGGGCGUAAAGGGUGCGUAGGUGGUUUCUUAAGUCAGAGGUGAAAGGCUACGGCUCAACCGUAGUAAGCCUUUGAAACUGGGAAACUUGAGUGCAGGAGAGGAGAGUGGAAUUCCUAGUGUAGCGGUGAAAUGCGUAGAUAUUAGGAGGAACACCAGUUGCGAAGGCGGCUCUCUGGACUGUAACUGACACUGAGGCACGAAAGCGUGGGGAGCAAACAGGAUUAGAUAUCCCGGUAGUCCCUGAG